GAGAUGGCUCAGUGGUUGAGCACUGGCUGCUCUUCCAGAGGGUCUGGGUUCAAUUCCCAGAACUCA
rnacentral:tRNA from 1 species